AGUGAACGUUGGCGGCGUGGAUUAGGCAUGCAAGUCGAGCGAUCGUAGCAAUACGGGAGCGGCAAACGGGGGUAGGAAUACAUCGGAACGUACCUUUUGGUUGAGAAUAGCGUUGGGAAACUGACGGUAAUACGUCAAUAAAAGUCGAGAGACCAAAGGUUUACUGCCGGAAGAGCGGCCGAUGCGAUAUUAGGUAGUUGGUGGGGUAAUGGGCCUACCAAGCCUGAGAUGUCUAGGGGGUGUGAGAGCAUGGCCCCACCACUGGGACUGAGAUACUGCCCAGACACCUACGGGUGGCUGCAGUCGAGGAUCUUCGUCAAUGGGC
rnacentral:rRNA from 1 species